ACGAGGCCUUUACUGACGCUAAAGCUCGAAGGUGCGGGUAUCGAACAGGAUUAGAUACCCUGGUAGUCCGCACGGUAAACGAUGGAUGCCCGCUGUUUGCGAUACACUGUGAGCGGCCAAGCGAAAGCGUUAAGCAUCCACCUGGGGAGUACGCCGGCAACGGUGAAACUCAAAGGAAUUGACGGGGGCCCGCGCAAGCGGAGGAACAUGUGGUUUAAUUCGAUGAUACGCGAGGAACCUUACCCGGGCUUGAACUGCCGGCGAACGAUACAGAGAUGUUGAGGCCCUUCGGGGCGCCGGUGGAGGUGCUGCAUGGUUGUCGUCAGCUCGUGCCGUGAGGUGUCGGCUUAAGUGCCAUAACGAGCGCAACCCCUCUCCGUAGUUGCCAUCGGGUGAUGCCGGGCACUCUGCGGACACUGCCACCGUAAGGUGUGAGGAAGGUGGGGAUGACGUCAAAUCAGCACGGCCCUUACGUCCGGGGCUACACACGUGUUACAAUGGGUGGUACAGAGGGCAGGCGUCCGGCAACGUCCGUCUAAUCCCGAAAGCCAUCCUCAGUUCGGACUGGGGUCUGCAACCCGACCCCACGAAGCUGGAUUC
rnacentral:rRNA from 1 species